rnacentral:rRNA from 1 species
UACGUAGGGGGCAAGCGUUAUCCGGAUUUACUGGGUGUAAAGGGAGCGUAGACGGCAGAGCAAGUCUGAAGUGAAAGCCAAGGGCUCAACCCUUGGACUGCUUUGGAAACUGUGCUGCUGGAGUGUCGGAGAGGCAAGUGGAAUUCCUAGUGUAGCGGUGAAAUGCGUAGAUAUUAGGAGGAACACCAGUGGCGAAGGCGGCUUGCUGGACGAUGACUGACGUUGAGGCUCGAAAGCGUGGGGAGCAAACGGG